rnacentral:lncRNA from 12 species
AUGCGUCUUGCUGGUGAACGCCUGGGAAGUGUCCGUACGGGGCUGUGCCCAAGCCCUGCUCAGCCACGUCCCGUGCACGGAAAGUCAAAGAGUAAAAAGCGGCAGCGGCUGCACCAACGUCUAUCUAGGCCAGUCGCGUCAGCUGCGCCCCAGGACCUGCCGCCGACCUGCCGCCGGCCCCGGAGCGGGGGGCGGGGAGCGGGGAGCGGGGGGCGGGGAGCCUCUUCCUCCGAGGCCCUGACGCGCGGACACGGACCCUGGGGGGGCGCCGGGGGGCGAGGGGCCCGGAACGGGCGGCCCCGCGGGAGCAGGAGAGCAGGAGGCGGCGUCCAGGGGGCUCGGCGCAGGCCUGCCCCGGUGACCUUGGGGCUGACCCCGGGCCCAGCGCGGCGGCCCCGCCCCCUCCCCCGCCCCCGCCCUGGGCCUGCGCCCCGCGGGGGGCUGCGCUGCCGACCUCGGCCGGGUCCCGGGAGCCCCCGCCCCCGCCCCCCGCCCGGCUCCUGGGUGGUUGGCUGCGCGCCCCUGCGCACCCCUGCGCGCCCCUGCCCUGGCCUCUCCGGCUCCGCCUCGGCCGCGUGGAUGGCGCCGGGGCCUCCGGGGGGCACAGAGCGACGCCCGCCCGCGGGGCCCCACCGGGUCGGGGCCGGGGACCACCCCCCCGCGGAGCGUCGGCCCGGCCCGGCCCGGUCCCCGCGACCCCGCCCCCCCACCCCGCCGAGGGGUCGCCCCCGGGCCCCCCCGCCCCGCCCCGGCCCCGCGCGCUCACCGCCCGCCGGCUCCUCCCCGCGGCGGCGCUGCCCCUGGGCCCCCGCAUCCGGGCCGUGCAGCCGCGCCCCGCCCGGCCUCCUGCAGGACCGCCCCGCCCCCAGCCCCGAACCCGCGCCGGGCGGGGCCCCAGAGCUCUCGGCGGGGCGGCGGGGAGGGCCGUGGCUGCGCGUCCCGACCCCCCCCGCCCCGCCCCGAGGUCGCAGGUGCCGCACGCGGGGAGCCCCGCCCCCGCCCCCCCCGCCCCCUCCCCCCCCCCGGGCCCCCCCCCGCGGCGCGGCUCCUCCUGGCCCCUCGGGUCGCGCCCUGGGAGCGGCGGGGCUGCCCGGCUGA